UGGGGAAUAUUGGGCAAUGGGCGCAAGCCUGACCCAGCAACGCCGCGUGAAGGAAGAAGGCUUUCGGGUUGUAAACUUCUUUUAUGAGGGACGAAAAAAAUGACGGUACCUCAUGAAUAAGCCACGGCUAACUACGUGCCAGCAGCCGCGGUAAUACGUAGGUGGCAAGCGUUAUCCGGAUUUACUGGGUGUAAAGGGCGUGUAGGCGGGACUGUAAGUCAGGCGUGAAAAUUAUGGGCUCAACCCAUAACCUGCGUUUGAAACUAUAGUUCUUGAGUGUCGGAGAGGUAAUCGGAAUUCCGUGUGUAGCGGUGAAAUGCGUAGAUAUACGGAGGAACACCAGUGGCGAAGGCGGAUUACUGGACGAUAACUGACGCUGAGGCGCGAAAGCGUGGGGAGCAAACAGGA
rnacentral:rRNA from 1 species